rnacentral:tRNA from 1 species
GCGCAUGUGGUGAAACUGGUAGACACGCCAUCUUGAGGGGGUGGUGCCCGUACGGGCGUGGAAGUUCGAAUCUUCUCAUGCGCACAA